rnacentral:lncRNA from 13 species
AUUAGCCAGCCGAUUCUAACCAGGACCUGCAGACUGAGACUGCCAGUGUCCUCCUGGCUGCUGGUCCACAGAGUGAACAGGGUCUUCUCCAGAAGCAGGCGGAUCCUUACCAGAAAGUCCACAGCAGACCCAGGACAAAAAGAUUGUCUUUCGGGUAAGAAGUGCAGUAAACAUAGGACACCUUCCUGCAAGGGAGGGAUCAUUAUUGCCUUUGCAGGUUCCUUGCCUUUGAUUUUCCUGCUAACGGCCACUUAUCUUCCAUUCUUUCCCUGCCCCCUUCCCCAGCUGCAGAAGCUAUUUUUAAAUCACCCUAGCAACUGGAGGACACAUGCAGGGCCUCCUGUGAUGCUGCAGUCGCCAGAGACUGAACAGGAGGGUGCUUGGAGAGUGUGACUGCCCUGCCAGGAACCAUGGUCCGCUUCUCUUUCACCUGGCAGAAGGAUGUCCUCAUAGUACAUACAGACCCAAGUUCCCUGCCUCACCGCUGCCUUUGUUCCUAACUUUGCCAUUGUCAGUUUGUUCUGAGAUAACUUCUCAGACUUGAGCUCCCAGGGAAAGCUGUGAGAGGUGCUGAGCAACACCCUCUGGGGUAGCUGUGUGCUGGGCAGGGUGCAGACAGGGCUGGUGGAUGACUUGGCUCAUCCCCAGUGUGGUAAAUAAAAGCGUAUAUAGUCUCUAGAGAAUUUUUUUU